rnacentral:rRNA from 1 species
AUUGAACGCUGGCGGCAGGCCUAACACAUGCAAGUCGAACGAGUGGCGGACGGGUGGGUAAUGUCUGGGAAACUGCCCGAUGGAGGGGGAUAACUACUGGAAACGGUAGCUAAUACCGCAUGCAAUCGGAUGUGCCCAGGUUGGAUUAGCUAGUGGGUGGGGUAAGGGCUCACCUAGGCGACGAUGCCUAGCUGGUCUGAGAGGAUGACCAGCCACAUUGGAACUGAGACACGGCCCAGACUCCUACGGGAGGCAGCAGUGGGGAAUAUUGCACAAUGGACGAAAGUCUGAUGGAGCCAUGCCGCGUGUGUGAAGAAGGUCUUCGGGUUGUAAAGUACUUUCAUCGGGGAGGCGUUACCCAACGAGGAAGCACCGGCUAACUCCGUGCCAGCAGCCGCGGUAAUUC